UACGGAGGGUGCAAGCGUUAUCCGGAUUUACUGGGUUUAAAGGGUGUGUAGGCGGGUCUUUAAGUCAGUGGUGAAAUCUCCGAGCUCAACUUGGAAACUGCCAUUGAUACUAUUGAUCUUGAAUUUUGUUGAGGUAGGCGGAAUAAGUCAUGUAGCGGUGAAAAUGCAUAGAUAUGACUUAGAACACCAAUUGCGAAGGCAGCUUGCUAAACAAAUAUUGACGCUGAGGCACGAAAGCGUGGGGAUCAAACAGG
rnacentral:rRNA from 1 species